CUGAAAAUGAGUUUGUUUACGUCAACCGAAAGCACGUGCACACUGUUAAUGUUCAAGUUAUAUAUGAUGAACAUAUGAUCUUAACAAACAUGGCGGCACGUUGGCCUGGUGCAACACAUGAUUCCUUUAUUCUGACACACAGUAGUGUAGGGAACAGACUACAGGCAGGCGCGGGGCGGGUUGGCUGGCUUCUAGGUGAGUUUUAAAGAGAGGAAAAAUGUAACAUUGUGGUUCUUGACAUAACUAAUGAUUUUCUGCCUUGCAGGUGACAGUGGAUACCCCUUGAGACGCUGGCUCCUCACCCCGGUUUUGAACGCGUACAGCGCAGGGGAACAUCGGUACAAUGACGUCCAUGCCCGUGCUCGGUCAGUGGUGGAGCGCGCCAUCAGCCUCCUGAAGUGCCGGUGGCGCGCUCUGGAUGCGUCGGGGGGAGGCUUUUAUACCAGCCUGCCAAAGUGUGCCGCAUUAUAAGAGCCUGCGGCGUGUUGCACAAUUUGGCCCAGAGGACCGGCAUCCCUCUCCCCCCCGACCUCCCUCCCCCCGAGCUUGACCCGGAGGCCGAGCCCCCUCCGAGCUGCAGAACUGUUUCUGUGAGCACCCGACUGGCGGACUGACGUGUGGUGGUGGGGGCAGCCGGAUGACCUGCGAUCGAGGGCCCCUCGCCGGCAUCAUCUUCUCCUCCUCCCCACCGAUCGCUGACUCUGGAUGACGCACAAGCAAAAUAUCUUGCACAAUAUAUGAUCUAUAAAAAGAAUCUAUAAAAAACAGAAAUCAGCUUUACUUUUGCUGCGCACACUGUGAUUUAUAAAGCAAAGAUCGCUUACAGGUGUGCCUACGCCUAUUUUUUGGCUCACAAAAAACUUGGCUUUCGGGCGUACAGUUUUAUUAAUUAGACCCCUGGUGAUGACGCUUUCCCGGCAGUUUAGACGCUGUUCAGCGUAUUACUGACGUCCAGAGGUCAGAUGUUGAACUACAUUUUACAUACAGUCAUGUAUUGUGCAGGAACUGCAUAAUUGCCUUGGAGAUCAAUUGGUUGUUCUCACUGUGUCCAAACAAAGUAAUAUAUAAUAUAUAUAUAUAAUUUAUAAAUAUAAUAUAUGUCUUUCUAUCCAUCUACUUCUCUUCUCAAACUCUGUUUUGCAAUCAGAUCCAUUCCCCCCAACGCCAAUGUGUCCAGGGACCCAGCAAAAGGUGAUUGAUGACGCUCCUCCAUUGAAGGCGCGUUCAUCGUCCUGGUGCUAACGAGACGGCUCACCAGGGAUGACGCUCACGCCUACGCGUGUUCCCGGCAGCGACCGUUCAUGUCUGUUGGCAUGACUUUGCUCAGUUUUAAAUGUUGUGUACCUGGUAAACCAGCUCUAGAUAAGGGGAAGUGUUGCCUUCCAUAAAGUGGCAAUACUGUAUGUGCUUAGUGCUUCUCAUAAAUAAAAGCAAAAGGAUAGUAGAUGAUAGGCAUCAAGGAAAUAAAGGCAUGCAAACUUGAAACUGAUCCUACUAAGUUCUGUUUAGUUCUGACUGUAUUUUAUCGGAUAAAAAAAUCCUGCUGUGAAGAACUUUUAGAUUCCCAACCGUCUGUUUCCCAACUGCACACGAGCGGUCGCUGUUGGGAACACGCGUAAGCGUGAGCGUCAUCACUGGUGAGCCGUCUCGUUAUCACUAGUGAUGAGACGUUCGUGACCGAAUCAAUUCGAAUGAACAAAUCUUUAACAAGAACGAACCGAACUGAUUCUUCUCUCUCGUUCGUCUCGUUCGUUCUCAGACUCGACUCCUCCCAGACCCACUAGUCGCUGACUCGCUGUUCGUUCACUGACUGUGAGUGGUUGUUAUAGCCACUGUUUGUUUGUUGCUGCCUUUUUGUUUCCCCUCUGUUAUGCGCAGGUGCGAGUCAUUAACAAUUCAUCAUCAUCCCGCCUCUACCAACCAGCUUCCACCAAUCACCUCAUCAGUUUCCAAUCAGGGGAGGCCUGCCACACACAUAAAAGCCAGUUUAACUUGUCUCUUACUCUCUCUCCUUUUUGUCCCGUUUGUGGUUCGGGGACUGGUUUUGCUGUGGAAUGGUUAGAGCAUUUUUUGAUUAUAUACAUAUCUAAGAGAUGUACAUAUAUUGUUCCGUAACCCUAACCCUAAUAGUGACCCCCUUUGUUAGUUCCCCCAUGUUUUUUUGUCUUUGUGGCUACCUUGCGGUCUUGGGACAGGUAAGACAGAGGAGUGUUGCUACCCGCUGUACUUUUGGCUUAGUUUAGUUAGGUUAGAGGACUUGUGGUCCGCUGUGUUGGCUGUUAGCUCAGCUUGUUUUGUUGGAGUUUUUUCUUUGGCAAGUCCCAAGGCCAAGGCUUUGUCGUAUGUUACUGUUGUGUAAUCGGCCCUAUUAAACCUAUGUUCAAC
ensembl:lncRNA